rnacentral:piRNA from 1 species
UCCCCAACAACAAUGUGAGAAGGCUCAU